rfam:Pteropus alecto contig68901, whole genome shotgun sequence.
GGUUUCAAAGUCUAGUGGUUAGCACGUCUGCUUUACACGCAGAAGGUCCUGGGUUCGAGCCCCAGCGAAGCCA